GAACGCACCUUGCGCUCCUUGGUAUUCCGAGGAGCAUGCCUGUUUGAGUGUCAUUAAAUUCUCAACUCUCAUGGCUUUGCCCAUGAUGAGCUUGGACUUUGGGGGUCUUUGCUGGCUUACGGUCGGCUCCUCUCAAAUGAAUCAGCUUGCCAGUGUUUGGCGGCAUCACAGGUGUGAUAACUAUCUGCGCUUGUGGUUUCCCGCUAGAUAACCUUCAGUGAUGGAGGUUCGCUGGAGCUCAUAAAUGUCUCUCCUCAGCGAGGACAGCACUUUGACUGUUUGAUCUCAAAUCAGGUAGGACUACCCGCUGAACUUAAG
rnacentral:misc_RNA from 1 species